CGGCCGCGUCGACGUUUGAUCCUGGCUCAGGAUGAACGCUAGCGGCAGGCCUAAUACAUGCAAGUCGGACGGGAUUGUUAGGAGAGCUUGCUCGAAUAACAUGAGAGUGGCGCACGGGUGCGUAACGCGUGAGCAACCUACCCAUAUCAGGGGAUAGCCCGGCGAAAGUCGGAUUAACACCGCAUAAGAAUGUAGUACCGCAUGGUACAGCAUUUAAAUAUUUAUAGGAUAUGGAUGGGCUCGCGUGACACUAGCUAGUUGGU
rnacentral:rRNA from 1 species